rnacentral:rRNA from 1 species
UACAGAGGAUGCAAGCGUUAUCCGGAAUGAUUGGGCGUAAAGCGUCUGUAGGUGGCUUUUUAAGUCCGCCGUCAAAUCCCAGGGCUCAACUCUGGACAGGCGGUGGAAACUACCAAGCUGGAGUACGGUAGGGGCAGAGGGAAUUUCCGGUGGAGCGGUGAAAUGCGCAGAGAUGCGGAGGAACACCGAUGGCGAAGGCAGCCCCCUGGGCUGACACUGACGCUCAGGCACGAAAGCGUGGGGAGCAAACAGG